GCCUGGGUGGCUCAGUCGGUUAAGCACCCAACUUCAGCUCAGGUCAUGAUUUCGUGGUUCGUGGGUUCGAGCCCCACACUGGGCU
rnacentral:tRNA from 1 species